UUCCGGCGACUUCAUCUGCUUUUUCGUCAAGCCCUCGUUAGUAAGGAAGUAGUUUCUCUUUAAUUCGGGUUAAACUAUGUUAUCUUCGUCGCAGGAUUAUUAAGAAGUUUUCCCAGUUCCAUAAUUGUUUUGCUAUGUAAUUAUAUGUACAAGAAGCUAUGUAUAACAAACAGUUAGUGACUCCGCAGUUGUAGAAUUUACAUACGUCUAGUCGUGUAGUAAUAUAGAUGAAGUAAUUCUGUUAGCCCA